AAAAAUAACCAACCACUCUGUGUGAGCUCUGUAUAAAACAGGAUGGCUCAAAUGAGGGCCAAGCUGAGGAACAAUACCUUAUCUAGUGAGAACCAAUGCUGUCAUGGGCUCGUCUGUAAAAUAUACAGCGAGCGAAGAAGGAAAAUAUUAAAGAAAGGCUUGAACCGACUCUCGGAGAUCAAGUCCGUAGUGAAAUCCAUGGGCCAAACAACACAGCUGAUGCCCUUUAAUGGGCCUUCAGUUCUGUAUUAUCAUUUUUUAUUUGUGUUACUUUGGUUGAUUGCAUAUUUUUGUAAGACUGAUCUCACAUCCAUUGUGCGGCUGAGACAGGGAAGUGUUUCUCUGCUGUAACUUGAGUUAUAGGCACAGAAUGCUAGGAUUUAGGGAUUCAGCCCCAGCAGACACCCUCAGUCCUCAUCAGUGAGCCCUGGGGACACUGGGAUUUCCUGCAUUUUUCUCUUUGAAUGACACCACUUCUCAGAAUAACUGAGCAGUCCCCAGGGACAUAAGCACAAGUGGCAGAUCGCAAUACGAGGCAAGGCAAGGCGUGAGCUGGGGUUCACCAUCCCAGUCAUCACAAAGGCUUUACAGCAUCACCUGAUGAUCUGAUAAGGAGCACCUCGCUCCCAAGACGAGCAGAGUGAAUGAGCAGAGGUGACAGGCCUCCCUCCAGGCCGGGGCUUCUGCGCGUCCUUCCUGCAAUGCCACCAUGAUUAAGGGCACCACCAGGGCCAAGCUCCGCUGUGCAACUUCAUGGCUGAGUCACCUGGAACAUACUACAUUCUCUCUGAGCUGACGCAGCUAAACACAAACUGUGGUACCUGGGGCAUAUGGAAAGAGAACACAGAUCGUGUAAAGUCUAUGAUUAUUGUCACUAAUGUACAUUUUCUGACAUUCUGGAAACAUCCGUGGGCCUUCGGCACACUCUGCAGGACACUGGAAUGAAUCCUGGCUUGCUGUUGGGCUGUGGAUGGUGAAGAAUGGAACCUCGGGGCUCAUGGCUGCUGUGCCACGGGCUCUCUAGGUGGAGUCCUGCUCUGAGUCAGCCCAUAGGAUUCUGCCUAGGUUUGGGAGUUAAGGGAAGGAUGGAGAGGAUAUUUAAAUCAGGGCCAAAGCCAAGGAAGACAAAGCACAUUCCAUCUCCGAUGUGAUGAGGCCCAAGGAUCCAAAAUAUUGCACAUUUACAAGAAAAUGCCCUGUGGUGGAGGCUUUCACCAACGUACUCAACGCAUACUGUCAUCAGAAGAAUCUAACUGACAGAAUGAAAUCACAUUUCAUUAGUGGGGAGCACUUCUCAGGACUCGAAACCACCAUCAUAAACAUAAACUCCCAGGGGCUUCCCUGGUGGUCCAGUGACUAGGACUCCGAGCUCACGAUGCAGGGGGCCAGGAGUUCGAGCCCUGGUCAGGCAACGAGAUCCCACGUGCCACACCUAAGACUCAGUGCAGCCAAAUAAAAAUUUAAUACAAUAAAAAUAAACUCCCAGAGCUGAAGCAAGUGCAGAGGGCAAGAAAGAUGGUGCUUCUUUUUCCCUGGUUCCUACUUCUGGAUUCCUGUCUCUCCUUCCCUCUCCCGGAUUUUUUUUUUUUUUCUGGCUCCCAACAAAGCCUGCUUCUCUC
ensembl:lncRNA